rnacentral:rRNA from 1 species
CGGGGUGCAGCAGGCGCGAAACCUUAGCAAUGUGCGAAAGCACGACUGGGUCAGUCCGAGUGAUUCCUGAUAAAGGAGUCUUUUGCUUGUCCUAAAAGCACAGGUGAAUAAGGGGUGGGCAAGUCUGGUGUCAGCCGCCGCGGUAAUACCAGCACCUCGAGUGGUCAGGACGUUUAUUGGGCCUAAGGCAUCCGUAGCCGGCUCUGCAAGUCUUCGGUUAAAUCCACCUGCUCAACAGAUGGGCUGCUGGAGAUACUACAGAGCUAGGGAGUGGGAGAGGCAGACGGUAUUCAGUGGGUAGGGGUAAAAUCCUCUGAUCCAUUGAGGACCACCAGUGGCGAAGGCGGUCUGCCAGAACACGUUCGACGGUGAGGGAUGAAAGCUGGGGGAGCAAACCGGAUUAGAUACCCGGGUAGUCCCAGCUGUAAACGAUGCAAACUCGGUGAUGCAUUGGCUUAUGGCCAAUGCAGUGCCGCAGGGAAGCCGUUAAGUUUGCCGCCUGGGAAGUACGGACGCAAGUCUGAAACUUAAAGGAAUUGGCGGGGGAGCAC